UACGGAGGGAGCUAGCGUUGUUCGGAAUUACUGGGCGUAAAGCGCACGUAGGCGGCUUUGCAAGUUAGAGGUGAAAGCCCGGGGCUCAACUCCGGAAUUGCCUUUAAAACUGCAUCGCUAGAGUUGUGGAGAGGUAAGUGGAAUUCCGAGUGUAGAGGUGAAAUUCGUAGAUAUUCGGAAGAACACCAGUGGCGAAGGCGAUUUACUGGACACAUACUGACGCUGAGGUGCGAAAGCGUGGGGAGCAAACAGGG
rnacentral:rRNA from 1 species